rnacentral:rRNA from 1 species
CCUCGUCGCAGCGAACUAUUUUGCCUUUUGAAUCAUCUCAAUCCGAGGCCGUUUGCAGAAUUUAAAUAUCAUACAGUCUAGUGUGUAUUGCUUGCUAAAAAGAAAGAGGGGAUAGACAGCAGCCGACAUGAACGUGAGGUGGCAGCAUCCGCCCGUCCUGUGGUCGGAAGGCGGAUGAUUUUCAGGCCCCGAGCGGAGUCGACCUGACGCCUGAAACUGACCUAAAGCUACAACCAAGUAUACAAGAGUUCAGAAAACAUAGCAGAAGCAGAGGAAGCUACAUGCAAGUAUUUAGAGUUCAGAAAACAGAGCAUAGCAGAUGAAAGCUAGCUACAGGCAAUAACGAUGACAGGCAAACAGAGCAAAGCAGAUGCUUGAUUUCCUAUCCUUGUCCACUGCCUUGUGCCUUCACUUCUCGCUGGUGGCCAGAGUCGAGUCAAGGUCCACAAAGGUGAAGUCGCUGGAGUAUUGAGUUUGCAAUCCAGGCCCUGGUCUCAAAAGACAGAUAUCAUCAUCAUCAUCAUCAAUGGACCUCCAAUAUUGAACUGCCUAUGAAUAUGCUAGAAUAUUGUGAACUGGAAACUAUCAGUAUUCAAAGAUAUGAUUUGUAGACAGAUUGCAAAGCUAGAGUUUCUCAUCAAGAUGGCCAAGUGAUGAGCUGGAUCUUUCUUCAGGAGCCAAGGUGUCUACCUAGUAGAAAUCACUGCUGAUGUUCCCUUUCCAUUUUCUUACCCACUGGAUUUCUUCAUAAAAUUGUUCUGUUUUGUGUGCAGUGUCUGCAUUUGAAAUAGUAACUGAACCUUCUGUCCUUUCAAUUUUGGAGGAAGCAAUUGUGGAACUCUGGAAACAGGGUGAACAGCCUAUGAUAGAUCAUUGUCUAGUUGCAUUCCUACACACAGACACACGCACACAAAACAUAAUCCGUAUCCAGUGUCUGAAGUGAGAUGACACUAAAUCUAUUCAAUGUUCCAGAAUAUUGAUGUUUUAAAUGGUACUCCCUCUGUAAACUAAUAAGAUAAAUUUUUGUCGUUAUUUUUUUACAGAGGGAGUAAUAGCUAGGGAUGAAGAUAACCACAGACUGUCCGGUGAGGUUUUUUUUUUACACUUCUGCAGUUAACUGUUUUCAUCCCAUGAUUCGAAGCCUUUGAGGUUCUUCUCUAGUUAACUCUUUGGCUCUGCUCAUAGUGACCAGAAAAUUUGUGGCCAAAACUUUACGAGAUCAAGUGCGCCCGGUCGACGGGCCACCAGAUGGGUCCAUGGAGAAACUGUGCCCAAGGGCAAGCUUUUCAUCUUUGAGAAGUGCCGACGCCUCGGCGAGGACGUCAAGCGUUCAUAUUCAGACAUGCGUUUCGACAUCUCAUGGUUGAUUCGAGGCAAUUGGCACUUGGAAGAUAGGUUUUUGUUGUGAU